AAGCCUGAUGCAGCGACGCCGCGUGAGGGAUGACGGCCUUCGGGUUGUAAACCUCUUUCAGCAGGGAAGAAGCGCAAGUGACGGUACCUGCAGAAGAAGCACCGGCUAACUACGUGCCAGCAGCCGCGGUAAUACGUAGGGUGCGAGCGUUGUCCGGAAUUAUUGGGCGUAAAGAGCUCGUAGGCGGCUUGUCGCGUCGGAUGUGAAAGCCCGGGGCUUAACCCCGGGUCUGCAUUCGAUACGGGCAGGCUAGAGUUCGGUAGGGGAGAUCGGAAUUCCUGGUGUAGCGGUGAAAUGCGCAGAUAUCAGGAGGAACACCGGUGGCGAAGGCGGAUCUCUGGGCCGAUACUGACGCUGAG
rnacentral:rRNA from 1 species